rnacentral:rRNA from 1 species
AUUGAACGCUGGCGGCAGGCCUAACACAUGCAAGUCGAGCGGAUGAAGUGAGCUUGCUCACGGAUUUAGCGGCGGACGGGUGAGUAAUGCCUAGGAAUCUGCCUGGUAGUGGGGGAUAACGUUCCGAAAGGGGCGCUAAUACCGCAUACGUCCUACGGGAGAAAGCAGGGGACCUUCGGGCCUUGCGCUAUCAGAUGAGCCUAGGUCGGAUUAGCUAGUUGGUGAGGUAAUGGCUCACCAAGGCGACGAUCCGUAACUGGUCUGAGAGGAUGAUCAGUCACACUGGAACUGAGACACGGUCCAGACUCCUACGGGAGGCAGCAGUGGGGAAUAUUGGACAAUGGGCGAAAGCCUGAUCCAGCCAUGCCGCGUGUGUGAAGAAGGUCUUCGGAUUGUAAAGCACUUUAAGUUGGGAGGAAGGGCAGUAAGCUAAUAUCUUGCUGUUUUGACGUUACCGACAGAAUAAGCACCGGCUAACUCUGUGCCAGCCGCCGCCGUAAUAC